GAUGAACGCUGGCGGCGUGCCUAAUACAUGCAAGUCGAGCGAACGGACGAGAAGCUUUCUUCUCUGAUGUUAGCGGCGGACGGGUGAGUAACACGUGGAUAACCUACCUAUAAGACUGGGAUAACUUCGGGAAACCGGAGCUAAUACCGGAUAAUAUUUUGAACCGCAUGGUUCAAAAGUGAAAGACGGUCUUGCUGUCACUUAUAGAUGGAUCCGCGCUGCAUUAGCUAGUUGGUAAGGUAACGGCUUACCAAGGCAACGAUGCAUAGCCGACCUGAGAGGGUGAUCAGCCACACUGGAACUGAGACACGGUCCAGACUCCUACGGGAGGCAGCAGUAGGGAAUCUUCCGCAAUGGGCGAAAGCCUGACGGAGCCACGCCGCGUGAGUGAUGAAGGUCUUCGGAUCGUAAAACUCUGUUAUUAGGGAAGAACAUAUGUGUGAGUAACUGUGCACAUCUUGACGGUACCUAAUCAGAAAGCCACGGCUAACUACGUG
rnacentral:rRNA from 1 species